GACGAACGCUGGCGGCGCGCCUAACACAUGCAAGUCGAACGGAGUCAAGAGGAGCUUGCUUUUCUUGACUUAGUGGCGAACGGGUGAGUAACGCGUGAGUAACCUGCCCUGGAGUGGGGGACAACAGUUGGAAACGACUGCUAAUACCGCAUAAGCCCACGGAUCUGCAUGGAUCUGCGGGAAAAGGAUUUAUUCGCUCUAGGAUGGACUCGCGUCCAAUUAGCUAGUUGGUGAGGUAACGGCCCACCAAGGCGACGAUUGGUAGCCGGACUGAGAGGUUGAACGGCCACAUUGGGACUGAGACACGGCCCAGACUCCUACGGGAGGCAGCAGUGGGGGAUAUUGCACAAUGGGGGAAACCCUGAUGCAGCGACGCCGCGUGGAGGAAGAAGGUUUUCGGAUUGUAAACUCCUGUCGUUAGG
rnacentral:rRNA from 1 species